GCCACUAAAGCACAGUGUAUUGUCAGAGUAGAUGCUUUGAUGUCAAUAGGCCAAAGGCCAACUUCUUUGUGUUUGUGUAUCUGAUAGAUUUGGCUGAAUCACAGAUACAGACGCUAAGCAGUGCCAUUGCUGCAGUUCUUCCAGACCUUCCUCAAGCAGUUCUUACUUCAGUGGAAGAUACAUUGAAGGGAUUUAGUGCAGAGACCCUAGAUGAUCUGCAGUUCAUUACAGAAGGAGACUUGCUACCGGUGUUGAAGCCAAUCCAAGCCAGAAGACUUGUUGUUGCCUGGGCCCAGAACAUUUCAGACUGAGCGGGGCCAUUUGGAUGGUUGCUCACAAGACAUCGUAGAGAUGGUACUUCUUUUACUGGCUCAUUUUGGUGAGAAGGAGGAGAACCUGCUCCAAUACGUUGAGGAGACAUGCCCAAGAGGUUUCACUUGGAGAAGUUGCCACCCUGCAUAUUUGUGUGUGGGCCCUGUUGCUUUUCUGCUGAGACAUUCAUAUUGAGCAUUGACCAAAAGGUUGUCAACGACCACAUCACUUCCUUCACCUCUGCCCUCAGCCUGAUGUUUGUGAGUUUCUACUGCUUCAACAUACACUACCCAGUGGAACUACGAUCAACACUAGAGUUUCUCCAAAGUCAUGUGAGCAGAGGAGGAGGAGGUGGGUGGUAUCGUCCUCUCCUCAGUCAUCCCUGUUUGAAUUCCCUCCUCAGCUUGUCGGUGGGAGAACAUUUUCUGUGGACACAUCACACAGCCCACCCACCCCUUCAUACACUCUCCGAUCAAGUGAGGAUAACUUGCAGUAAUUAGAUCCCCAUAGUAAUGUCAGGAUUACAGAUACCAGAUCUACCACUCACCGUUGCCCUAAUAAAAAGCAAACAUAAAGCUGCUUAAUGAAGAAUAAAUAGAAUAUUUAGAGUUGCACUACAAGUAAGCAGCAGUGUAUGAGAGUUAUGGCCUACUAUGAAGUUUGAUCUGCUUACUGUUUAACACACCAGACACACAGUACACCCCCACCUGCAGUGAAUUAUUUGCAGUAUUUGGUGUUUUUCUAUUUCUCUGUAGUGUUGUAAAACAGCAGAGGAAGCUCUGAUGUUAUAAUAAAGGAUAUUAAACAUUG